rnacentral:lncRNA from 1 species
UACUCCAUGCACUCAGAACAGCAAUAGAGUUUGCUUCUGUAAACCAGGUUUUUAUUGUACUGGAGGAAAAGAUUAUGAAACAUACUGCCAUAAACCAUGUGUUCCCUGUGGAAAAGGCACAUUCUCCAGCAAACCAUCUCUGGAAGACUGCAAUCCUCAUACAGAUUGUGCUCGGUUGGGAAUGAUGAUGCUCAAAGAGGGCACAGCGACACAGGACAGAGAGUGUGUGAAUGUCACAACAGUGAUGCCAACCUCGUCCACUACCACCACUUUCAAUAGCACUUCCAUCCCCAUGACAGGGGUCACUGAACAACUCGUAGACACGGCAGAAGAAAUCCAGUCCCAUUGGUUGCUGCUAUUAAUCUUAAUGUUGAUAAUCUUGUUCAUGGCUGGAUUCUGUAUUCUGAUGAAAGACGUGGCAAAGAAAACCCUUUUUAAAUGGUUUGGUUUUAUAAACAGACAACAUGAAGAUUAUCAACCCUGGAGUCAAACUGCAGCUGACAAUAAAAUUUUGUCCAAUUCCCAAUCCCACACCUUGAAGACCAAAAUACCAGUUUGCAGUGGUGGCAGAGAGGUCAAAGGUCAUAGUACGGGGCCGAUGCCCCAAUCUGGGACUGUGCAGCAGGUCACAAUGGAGCACAAUGGGAAGGGUGAGAACGUCAGCAAUACUGUUGGGUCCAUCUACAUCUACUCUCCUGGAAUGGUGAUUUUGGGCUCCAACUCGAGUGAUAAAAAGGAAGAGGCAGGACUUUGCGAAGAAGGCGUUCCCCUCAUCAGCAGACCGCAGCAAGAGUCAAAUCCACCCUCGCAAGAGGUCAGAAUCAGAAUAAGCGCACAGGAAGAAGCUGAGGAGGAACUGAGCUUGAGUUUUCCUGUGCCAGCAACUGAAAAGUGAGAACUCGAACAUGUGGUUUCUUGCAUGAACUUCAGAAUGGCGUUCAGGAAGAUUCCAGGUUGAAUCACAAGGCUGAAAAUUCACAAGCUGCCAGAUUUCAGAUUCCUGGUAAAGCAUGGCAUCAGCAAUGCACAAGUCAUGGUUUCAGUUCCAGAGAAACAUGCACGCUGACUAAAUGUACAGGCUACCUUGAUUGCACUGUAUGUCAAAUACAGAAUGCACAGAUGUGCCAGAUGGAAAACGCUGAGUAAUGAUUUUAGCUUUUUUGCGCAUUAAGAAAAAGAUUUAUGCUUAAUUUAAGUUAGUCAGGUUUUAUAAAUGCACAUGUCUGAAUUGCUGCUGCAGCCAAACUGGGACAAAAACAAGCAUGAAGACUGUGCACAGGAGGUACAGACAAAAGGGUGAAAAAAACACCCUCAAAGGUGUUAGGAGUUUUCAUAGCGUGUGUCCUAUAAGAUAUAGGCAGUAUAAUUGAAACGCACAUGGUGUGUAUGAAUUGUUUUAUUGUUUAAGUGAGUGGUCGAGAACCUAACGACUACAUCUAUAUGUUUCUAAACAGACUUUUGCUCUACCGUGUGGGUGUUUCAUAUGCAUGUCUAAAAAAUACCCAACCUCACCUUCGGAAAGAAGUGUCUGAUUUGACUGUUGUAGGAGGUCGAGUCGUGACAGACUGCGUUCACCCUGCAACCUUUACAGAACAUGAUCACAAUGACAUUUCUAGUGUUGCAGUAGAAGAUGUUUCAUACAUCUCAGUCACAUCCUCCAUUCCCUUGAGCUUGUGUGUGUGUCAUUUUGCUUGUUUUUUUUUUUUAGUUUUUUGUAAAUUUGUCAAUGAAUGUGUUCUGAU